rnacentral:rRNA from 1 species
AUAUACGACCGUACCGCAAACCGACACUAGUGCGCGAGAUGAGUAUUCUAAGGCGCUUGAGUGAACUCAGAAGAAGGAACUCGGCAAAUUGACACCGUAACUUCGGAAGAAGGUGUGCCCUAUUAGUGUGUAGUGAACAACGAAGCAUGAAUGGGUUGCAAAAAAUCGGUGGCUGCGACUGUUUAUUAAAAACACAGCACUCUGCAAACACGAAAGUGGACGUAUAGGGUGUGACGCCUGCCCGGUGCUGGAAGAUUAAAUGAUGGGGUGCAAGCUCUUGAUUGAAGUCCCAGUAAACGGCGGCCGUAACAAUAACGGUCCUAAGGUAGCGAAAUUCCUUGUCGGGUAAGUUCCGACCUGCACGAAUGGCGUAACGAUGGCCACACUGUCUCCUCCUGAGACUCAGCGAAGUUGAAAUGUUUGUGAUGAUGCAAUCUCCCCGCGGAAAGACGGAAAGACCCCAUGAACCUUUACUGUAGCUUUGUAUUGGACUUUGAACAGAUCUGUGUAGGAUAGGUGGGAGGCUUUGAAGCAGGGUCGCUAGAUCUUGUGGAGCCAACGUUGAAAUACCACCCUGGUGUGUUUGAGGUUCUAACCUAGGUCCAUUAUCUGGAUCGGGGACAGUGCAUGGUAGGCAGUUUGACUGGGGCGGUCUCCUCCCAAAGCGUAACGGAGGAGUUCGAAGGUACGCUAGUUACGGUCGGACAUCGUGACGAUAGUGCAAUGGCAUAAGCGUGCUUAACUGCGAGACUGACAAGUCGAGCAGAUGCGAAAGCAGGACAUAGUGAUCCGGUGGUUCUGUAUGGAAGGGCCAUCGCUCAACGGAUAAAAGGUACUCUGGGGAUAACAGGCUGAUACCGCCCAAGAGUUCAUAUCGACGGCGGUGUUUGGCACCUCGAUGUCGGCUCAUCUCAUCCUGGGGCUGUAGCCGGUCCCAAGGGUAUGGCUGUUCGCCAUUUAAAGAGGUACGUGAGCUGGGUUUAAAACGUCGUGAGACAGUUUGGUCCCUAUCUUCCGUGGGCGCUGCAGAUUUGAGGAAGCCUGCUCCUAGUACGAGAGGACCGGAGUGGACACACCUCUGGUGUAUCGGUUGUCACGCCAGUGGCAUUGCCGAGUAGCUAAGUGUGGAAGAGAUAACCGCUGAAAGCAUCUAAGCGGGAAACUCGUUUCAAGAUGAGAUCUGCCGGGGCCUUGAGCCCCCUAAAGAGUCGUUCAAGACCAC